rnacentral:rRNA from 1 species
UACGAAGGGUGCAAGCGUUACUCGGAAUUACUGGGCGUAAAGCGUGCGUAGGUGGUUUGUUAAGUCUGUUGUGAAAGCCCCGGGCUCAACCUGGGAAUGGCAAUGGAUACUGGCAAGCUAGAGUGCGGUAGAGGGUAGUGGAAUUCCCGGUGUAGCGGUGAAAUGCGUAGAGAUCGGGAGGAACACCAGUGGCGAAGGCGGCUACCUGGACCAGCACUGACACUGAGGCACGAAAGUGUGGGGAGCAAACAGG